ACGUAGGGUGCGAGCGUUAAUCGGAAUUACUGGGCGUAAAGCGUACGCAGGCGGCUGGGUAAGACAGAGGUGAAAUCCCCUUGCUUAACCUUGGACCUGCUUUUGUGACUGUAGGGCUUGAGUGCGGCAGAGGGGGGUGGAAUUCCACGUGUAGCAGUGAAAUGCGUAGAGAUGUGGAGGAACACCGAUGGCGAAGGCAGCCCCCUGGGUCGACACUGACGCUCAUGCACGAAAGCGUGGGGAGCAAACAG
rnacentral:rRNA from 1 species